rnacentral:lncRNA from 1 species
CAGAGGUUAAAUCACUACAUCAACAGAGAGUGGUGUAGUAAAGGGAGGAAGGGCUGGGAAAACUGCAUGAGGGUGGAUUACAGAGAGCUCUGAAUGCCAUUCUUGGUAGGAUAAAAUGUGAGAACUGAACCCCAACUGAGAAGGUGCCAAUUAAUUCAGGUGGCACUGACCUGUGAGGCUGAGGAGGUCUUAAUCACCAGAACACUAAAUGCUCAUUAUCCAACCUUUUAAUUAGCAAAGAAACUACCCUGUCUGGAAAAGUUUUCAGCAAAGAACUAAGAUUUGAUCAUGCUGUUAAAGAAAAAAAAAGAAAAGAAAAAAACAAUCCUCUGAUCUCUCCCAGGCAACAAAUCUUGUAUUUCAGAUGUAUGUUUUCAUAUCUUCCAGGUCCCAAUUGGAGAGAAAAUGAGGAAAAGGAGGAACAGAUGGGACUAAAAGCAGAAGGCACCUGAUGAAAGAGAAAAAGCAAGGCUGGGGGAAGGGUGUUUAGAGAAGGACUGGGAGAACAAAAGCAAAGAAUCUGAAAUGUAAGGUUAUCUCCUCUGCUGAACUACACACACAAAGUUGUUCUAUUUACUGCUUUGCAAUAUUGAGUGACUCUAUCAAGUACUGGUGGCGAUCGGUGCCUAGGAAUAAUCACAUGGAUCUCUCAAUAGAAAGCUCACUUUACAGAAUCAGGUCACUAAUAAGGGCCUGGGGCAUGUAUAUCACCAUGUAGGUGUGAAAAUGCAGGACAGGGUCAGGCUAUGCCAACAUCUUUGUACAUGUGAAAAAUGAAACCCAAGAAGGUCAACAGAAAGGGCAUUGGCCUGGGAAUCAGAAAGGUAGUCCUUUCCCUGAAAGAGGAUAAAUGUAUUUUCCCAAGGUGACAAGGUAAGUAGUAGAGUGCCUACAUUUUGUUUCUUGCCUCUUAGGAGAGCAUGCUUUCUUCCGUUCCCAUGAACUUCAGAAUGAGCCACAUCUUUACUCAAAGCCUCCUCUGCUAUUUAUAUGUGUGACCUUAGAGGAGUCUCAGCAGUGCCUGACAUAUAAUUAUAUGAACCUCUGGACUCUGGAGUAAGCAUGGCUCUAAUGCUCUGGAGGACACAUCCUUAUUCUCCAAGAUCUCUAUCAAGUCAUUUAGGAGGGAAAGACUGGCGGAAAGAGAAAUACACAAACCUCAGAAGGGAGCAGACAAUUCACACAUUUCUACAGUUUAACCUUCAGUGCCAAGAGAAACAGAAGUGGCUGGUUAUGAAAACCGGCAGCACAGCUUUUUCCCUCCCUGUGGUGUCUUCCCAGAUAAGAAAGCAGGCCUGAAUCCCGGGUGCUGUUCUUCCAGACCACAUGAAAGGUACUGUCUCAGGCUCCUCAUCUGGAACUUUUAUGCUUUACAAAGAUGAUAAUAGUCCCUCAAAAUCACCUACAAUGCUGAAUUAAAUAGCAUUCAAAGUAUACUAGGAGAAAAUUACAGUCAAGUUUGAGUCAACAGAUCUCUUAACCUGGUAACUUUUAGGAAACCACUUAAUUUCUGCAACUCAGUCAUCUUCCCUAUAAAAUGGGAAUAAUAAAACCUAUCUUGACUACUCUAAAGACUAGUAUUGAGAAGCAAAUGAGGUAAGAGACAUGAGAAAGAUUUAGAAAUUAUAAAAUUCAACAUAAAUACAAAUUAAUGAGGUACAUCUAUUAUGUCACCUGAUCUUUAUAACGUGACAAUUGUCCAAAUCAAAAUGGAGUCACUAAAGUUUUUUUUUGUUUGCUUGUUUGCUUGUUUGUUUUUAAAAAAACCCUGAUAAAUAGAGCCACAGAAGUCCAUGAAGAGAGGAUUCUCAUAUUCGUAUACCUGACAAGAAACACUAUCACAAUGACUGCAAAAAACACAACCUUGUACAAAGACCAUUACAAACUUACACAAAAGAAUACCUUUGCAAGGACAUCUGCCCAGCAAUUGCCUGUCCAAUCUCAGACUGGUGUCACUCUUGUUAUUUAUCUUUGUAACCAAGGAUAAUUAUUUCAAAACAAUUAUGUAAUUCUCCUCAUUUUUUCCUUUAAAAACCAUUUCUUUCUUUUACCUCCCUGAGUACUCAUAUGGGCACAGCAGUCUCAUUGCAGUGUAUUCUCAUGCACUAUUCCCAAAUAAAUAUUUUUUUCUUUUAGAAAGCCUCUCUCUGUUUGUUAUUUAGGCUGACAAUAACAACCCCAGGAAAUGGGUAAGUUAUUAUCCCUAUUUAUUGAUGGGUUGCGGGGGAGAAACAGAAAAGGAUCAGGCUAUUUGCUUAAAGUCCCUCAGCAAGUUGGCUCCCAAGGCAAGUCCAGUGCCCUUGCAUCCCAUCACCUCCUAGACCCUCCACCAGUGCUGCUUAUUCUCUCUGCUGUUUUCCCAGAAUCAUUCACUGCCCUUCUCCACAUCACAGGAGCUCCUGUCUCCUCUGACUUCAGGUUGGACUGGCUAAUAGAAAGACCAAAAGGUGGCAGGAGAGCAGAGUUGAGCAUUCGUUCCCUGGCUCUCCCCCUGCCUCAGCACUGUGGCUCUGACAAUGACUGGAUCCCUCUACAACUUCGACUCUUAUCUAGAGCCUCCUUCCACAGUGAUUCUGCAUAUCUGUUACAUUCUAAGGCCACUUCACAACACUACCAAACCCAGCUUUACAGUUUGGAAGACUGAGAGAAUCAUACCCAAAGCCACAAACAUCCAAAUAUGGUGUUCUUCACAAGAAACUAAUAAUGAACUUGAGACAGAGUCUGCAGGGAUAGAUGAUGACUUGGGAUUCGGUGCUUACAGGAGACUGGCUCUUCACAUUCUUUGCAUCCACAGUUCCAAGGAGGCUUUAGAGCUCAAUACUUUCCAGCCAGUGACAUUUCUAAAUGCAUUUUCCAAAUGAAGUCAAUGCCCUCAGGCAGCCCAGUGGGGAGGUCAUGGAGAGCCAGUGAGAAGGAAGUCUGCAGGGAGCUCAUGCCAAAAUAUUUGCUGGAUGGCACUAAUGACCACCACCACAACAGACUGCGUAGGAGAAAACACUGAGAAAUUGAAAUGGGAGAAUUCCCUGACACCCCUUGCUGAACGUGAGACAGGGAUGUGACUCAUCUGUUCAGUAACCACUGCUCCUCAAACCCCUUAUGUGAGGGGAGCAUGCAGACAGGUAGGUUCAGGAGCCAGAGUAAGCACCCCUGGGCUCCAGCCCCAGGGCAGCAUUCAGGGUUGAGAGCCUGCAACUCCCAAAGCCCAAAUGGGCUGUGUUACAGUGUACUCUUUCAGCCUUGCCAUUCGCGGGCAGCUUAUCUGUUAACCAGCUCAGUGAAUUCUCUGCCUUUUCACAAUGGCAGAGGGCCAGUGUGACAGCUUUCUGUACCCAAGCUCUCGUCCAACAUCCCAGAAGAGUCAGGUCACAUACAGACUUGAAGGAUGAAUGUGGGGGUAUUAUUGAGUGGUGGAAA